GUGCUCGCUUCAGCAACACAUCUACUAAAAUCAGAACGAUACAGAGAUUAGCAUGGUCCCUGCACAAGGAUGACAUGCAAAUUCAUGAAGUGUUCCAUAUUUAA
rfam:Tupaia chinensis contig70088, whole genome shotgun sequence.